rnacentral:lncRNA from 1 species
ACUCCGCCGGCGUUUCCAUGGUGGCAAGUGGCCGGUUCCUUGCGGGGCUGAGCAACAAAGUAGUAUCAGUGUUCGGUGGCUCCACUGGAACUACGCAGAGCCAGACCAGCGGGACCACAGAAUGGGCUGAGGCGGCGGCGGCUGUUUGGAUAAAGUCAACAGCGGGACGUGGGGCGUGACGCCGUAGUAAAAGCCCAGCUUGAAAAUGGAGAUGUAUGAAACCCUUGGAAAAGUGGGAGAGGGAAGUUACGGAACAGUCAUGAAAUGUAAACAUAAGAAUACUGGGCAGAUAGUGGCCAUUAAGAUAUUUUAUGAGAGACCAGAACAAUCUGUCAACAAAAUUGCGAUGAGAGAAAUAAAGUUUCUAAAGCAAUUUCAUCACGAAAACCUGGUCAAUCUGAUUGAAGUUUUUAGACAGAAAAAGAAAAUUCAUUUGGUAUUUGAAUUUAUUGACCACACAGUAUUAGAUGAGUUACAACAUUAUUGUCAUGGACUAGAGAGUAAGCGACUUAGAAAAUACCUCUUCCAGAUCCUUCGAGCAAUUGACUAUCUUCACAGUAAUAAUAUCAUUCAUCGAGAUAUAAAACCUGAGAAUAUUUUAGUAUCCCAGUCAGGAAUUACUAAGCUCUGUGAUUUUGGUUUUGCACGAACACUAGCAGCUCCUGGGGACAUUUAUACGGACUAUGUGGCCACACGCUGGUAUAGAGCUCCCGAAUUAGUAUUAAAAGAUACUUCUUAUGGAAAAUUCAUGCCAGAACUGAAAGCUAAAUUACUGCAGGAAGCAAAAGUCAAUUCAUUAAUAAAGCCAAAAGAGAGUUCUAAAGAAAAUGAACUCAGGAAAGAUGAAAGAAAAACAGUUUAUACCAAUACACUGCUAAGUAGUUCAGUUUUGGGAAAGGAAAUAGAAAAAGAGAAAAAGCCCAAGGAGAUCAAAGUCAGAGUUAUUAAAGUCAAAGGAGGAAGAGGAGAUAUCUCAGAACCAAAAAAGAAAGAGUAUGAAGGUGGACUUGGUCAACAGGAUGCAAAUGAAAAUGUUCAUCCUAUGUCUCCAGAUACAAAACUUGUAACCAUUGAACCACCAAACCCUAUCAAUCCCAGCACUAACUGUAAUGGCUUGAAAGAAAAUCCACAUUGCGGAGGUUCUGUGACAAUGCCACCCAUCAAUCUAACUAACAGUAAUUUGAUGGCUGCAAAUCUCAGUUCAAAUCUCUUUCACCCCAGUGUGAGGUUAACUGAAAGAGCAAAAAAGAGACGCACUUCUUCACAAUCUAUUGGACAAGUUAUGCCUAAUAGCAGGCAAGAGGAUCCAGGUCCUAUUCAAAGCCAAAUGGAGAAGGGUAUAUUUAAUGAGCGAACAGGUCACAGUGACCAAAUGGCAAAUGAGAACAAAAGGAAGCUGAAUUUUUCCAGAUCUGACAGGAAAGAAUUCCAUUUUCCAGAAUUGCCUGUCACAAUACAGUCAAAAGAUACAAAAGGAAUGGAAGUUAAACAGAUAAAAAUGCUGAAGAGGGAGUCAAAGAAAACAGAGUCAUCUAAGAUACCAACUUUACUUAACGUGGAUCAAAAUCAAGAAAAACAAGAGGUACGUCUUUAUCAGCGGCAUGAAGACAGACCAAUACAGUGAAUUGGUACCAGUAGAGUGGGGCAUUGCUGAAAAGAUACCCAAAAAUGUGGAAGCAACUUUGGAACUGGGUAACAGGCAGAGGUUUGAACAGUUUGGAGAGCUCAGAAGAAGACAGGAAAAUGUGGGAAAGUUUGGAACUUUCUAGAGACUUGUUGAAUGGCUUUGACCAGAAGCUUGAUCAUGAUAUGGACAAUAAAAUCCAAGCUGAGGUGGUCUCAGAUAGAGAUGAGGAACUUGUUGGGAACUGGAGCAAAGGUGACUCUUGUUAUGUUUUAGCAAAGAGAUUGGCAGCAUUUUGCCCCUGCACUAGAGAUUGUGGAACUUUGAACUUGAGAGAGGUGAUUUAGGGU